rnacentral:rRNA from 1 species
CCCAGACUCCUACGGGAGGCAGCAGUGGGGAAUAUUGCACAAUGGGGGAAACCCUGAUGCAGCGACGCCGCGUGAGUGAAGAAGUAUCUCGGUACGUAAAGCUCUAUCAGCAGGGAAGAUAAUGACGGUACCUGACCAAGAAGCCCCGGCUAACUACGUGCCAGCAGCCGCGGUAAUACGUAGGGGGCAAGCGUUAUCCGGAUUUACUGGGUGUAAAGGGAGCGUAGACGGCAGCACAAGUCUGGAGUGAAAUCCCGGGGCUUAACCCCGGAACUGCUUUGGAAACUGUGCAGCUGGAGUGCAGGAGGGGGAAGCGGAAUUUCUAGUGGAGCGGUGAAAUGCGUAGAUAUUAGGAGGAACACCAGUGGCGAAGGCGGCUUACUGGACAGUAACUG